AACGAACGCUGGCGGCAUGCCUAAUACAUGCAAGUCGAACGAACGUAGCAAUACGUGAGUGGCGGACGGGUGAGUAACACGUGGGAACCUGCCCAGCGGUGGGGAACAACCGAGGGAAACUUCGGCUAAUACCGCAUACGCCCUUACGGGGAAAGAUUUAUCGCCGUUGGAGGGGCCCGCGUCCGAUUAGCUGGUUGGUGAGGUAACGGCUCACCAAGGGGACGAUCGGUAACUGGUCUGAGAGGACGACCAGUCACACUGGGACUGAGACACGGCCCAGACUCCUACGGGAGGCAGCAGUAGGGAAUAUUGGACAAUGGGGGAAACCCUGAUCCAGCAAUGCCGCGUGAGUGAUGAAGGCCUUAGGGUUGUAAAGCUCUUUCGCCCACGACGAUGAUGACGGUAGUGGGAGAAGAAGCCCCGGCUAACUUCGUGCCAGCAGCCGCCGCAG
rnacentral:rRNA from 1 species